rnacentral:rRNA from 1 species
GACGAACGCUGGCGGCGUGCUUAACACAUGCAGGUCGAACGGAAAGGCCCUGCUUUUGUGGGGUGCUCGAGUGGCGAACGGGUGAGUAACACGUGAGUAACCUGCCCUUGACUUUGGGAUAACUUCAGGAAACUGGGGCUAAUACCGGAUAGGAGCUCCUGCUGCAUGGUGGGGGUUGGAAAGUUUCGGCGGUUGGGGAUGGACUCGCGGCUUAUCAGCUUGUUGGUGGGGUAGUGGCUUACCAAGGCUUUGACGGGUAGCCGGCCUGAGAGGGUGACCGGCCACAUUGGGACUGAGAUACGGCCCAGACUCCUACGGGAGGCAGCAGUGGGGAAUAUUGCACAAUGGGCGGAAGCCUGAUGCAGCAACGCCGCGUGCGGGAUGACGGCCUUCGGGUUGUAAACCGCUUUCGCCUGUGACGAAGCGUGAGUGACGGUAAUAGGUAAAGAAGCACCGGCUAACUACGUG